rnacentral:tRNA from 1 species
UGAGGUGUAGCUCAGUGGUUGAGUGCCUGCUUUGCAUGUAUGAGGUCCCAGGUUCAAUUCCUGGUACCUCCU